UACAGAGGUCCCAAGCGUUGUUCGGAUUCACUGGGCGUAAAGGAUGCGCAGGUGGGUUUGCAAGUUCGAUGUGAAAGCCCCGGGCUUAACCCGGGAAUGGCAUUGGAUACUGCAGAUCUGGAGGAUCGGAGGGGGGACUGGAAUUCUUGGUGUAGCAGUGAAAUGCGUAGAUAUCAAGAGGAACACCAGUGGCGAAGGCGAGUCCCUGGACGAUACCUGACACUGAGGCACGAAAGCUAGGGGAGCAAACAGG
rnacentral:rRNA from 1 species